ACUGUAGCAAAUACCUUGUGAGGUAGAUUGAGGAAGCCCAUUAGUGCUUGUUUGUUCAAGCUCUGGCACACCACCCCAUUGCUCAUCACUGAUGAGCCUGGGUUUGUCUCUUUGCGCCUUCCAAGCUAGUUUAAAACUCUAUCAACAAGUCCUGCUAUCUCCUGUGACAUAACUCUUUCUCCUAUGGAUUCAUGGAAAGUAUCGUACAGUAAUAAUAAUUGAAUCUGCAAGUCAUCCUGAAAAUAUGUGAAUUCCUGCAGCAAUUAUUACAAGAAGAAAUUAUUAAAAAGGUUUUGAUGGUUGGUUGUGUCCCUAAAAGUACUGCUCAUCUUCACGUGCAAAUCUAUCCAGAAACAGAUCUAAGCGAGCUGAGAAGAGACAUCUGCAGCUCCACAAUUUUGAGAAUCAUUGUACAUAAAUUCCAGGAUACAAGAGGACCUAUCUCAUCUUUUACCAGUCGUCGUUUGGGAACCUUCUUGUGCAAAAAUAUUUUUGACUGAAAAAUAUCCAGGGACUCUCUGCCACCUUUCCAUAGCCAAAACAUACUGAGCAGCACGCCUGCCCUGCUGUAGGUUUCUUCUAUGUCUCAGAUUUAUUGAAAGUUGAUUAAUAUGCUAAUAAUUUAAGUGAAAUGUUCACCUAUUAAAAAAAGGCAAAAAAGAAGACUAAAGAAUUCUUAUUAUAACUGAUCAUGCUGUCCGUGAGUCUCUGAAAAAAAGAUGUGUUCAGGAGGCAGAACAAAUGAAA